CGGCCGCGGCGGCCGCAGAUGCCCAUUGGACCGGCUUGGCGCUCACCUGGGGCCGCACCAGCUCUGUCCCCACCCGGCCUGGUGCCCGGAGGCGCGGGAAUCCGGCCGCCGCGAGUGUGGCUAAAAGCUGGGCUUCGGGACAGCGGGAGACUCAGAAUAUGGCAAAAGAUUUCUGCGUGGUGUGCACGAGACACAGGCAUAAAGAACGCGUGUGCGCGCUCCCGGUACUUAACAAUUGGGAGAUUAAUAAAUUAUUCAUGAACGUAUUUGACAGGAUUAUUAAAAAUUUUUAUGCUGCUGUGAAUAAAUACCUUUCGAAAGCAUUCUGUCAUAUAAA